AUGACCCGACUUUAUUUGUACGUGCGUUUCUUUUCCAAAACCCUAGAGAGCCUCCAUCUCCAUCUCCAUUCUCCAUCUCCAUUCCAAUGAUCAUCUCCUCACAUGUCUUUCCUAAUGAAUUCCAUCUGAGCAUCGUGAAUCCUUCAUUCGUUUCAUUCAACACGGCUAUUCUGACCCAAAUCAAAGGACGCUUCUUUCUAAACCCUAGCCUCCUUCAUCUCGCUCUUCUGGAUCAAUCAUAUUCUCAUCAAAUGGUUCAAUAAUCAGGUAUGAUUCCUUUCAAUCACAGAUCCAUGUAUCUCGAUCUAAAUCUCCCCUCUCUAUUGGAAACGAAGCCAUUGUUGUCUUAACGGUUUGUAACGGUUGGAGAUUGAGAUUAGUAGAUGGUGGAUGCAUUGUGGUAAUGGAUCUUAUGGCGAGGUUUAU